ACGCAUUAAGUACUCCGCCUGGGAAGUACGCGCGCAAGAGUGAAACUCAAAUGAAUUGACGGGGACCCGCACAAGUAGCGGAGCAUGUGGUUUAAUUCGAAGCAACGCGAAGAACCUUACCUAAGCUGGACAUCCCAAUGACAUCUCCUUAAUCGGAGAGUUCCCUUCGGGGACAUUGGUGACAGGUGGUGCAUGGUUGUCGUCAGCUCGUGUCGUGAGAUGUUGGGUUAAGUCCCGCAACGAGCGCAACCCUUGUCUUUAGUUGCCAUCAUUAAGUUGGGCACUCUAG
rnacentral:rRNA from 1 species